GCAGCACAUUCAACGGUGUAUUUGAGGUUACGUACAUCGUUGCUUGUGAUAAAUAGAAAACAUCUAAUAAUAAAACAGAUAUGUAACAUCGAAAUGCAGUAUUUAUUAGAAUUUAAGUUAUUUUAAUUAUCUCGCGAGAGAUUUGUAAUAAACAUCUUGUUAUUAACGUGAAUUGAUGCGUCUGAAAUGGAGGCACCCGCAGUAGAGAGUUUACCUUAUUGUAAAGAAUUAUGGGUCUUAAUAUCGGAUACGGUAUGCCGGUGCGAGAGACAACUCGUAGAAGAUGAAAUUAAAAAGGAAACGAAACUUCUCAAAGAGGGUCUUUUAUUUUUUAAACCAUAUACAGAAGCAUCCCUGCAGAACAUACCCAAAAACGAUCCUUCGCCGCGAAUGUACGAAUUAAUUAGCAAGCUUGCUCCUCUUCUGAAUUUGGAUGCUACAAUUACCUGGGAUCUAGUUUGUAAUUUCAUAAAAUAUGAAUAUCGCAAUUGCACAGAAACAUUUGCAUCUCAACUCGUAGAUUUCACUUCGAUGAAAGCAUUGAUUGACGAUAUAUGGAACUUUUACUACUCAGAAAGAAUGUCCUUGAUAAAGUGCCUUAAACUUAUGGUCGAAUAUAAAGACAACGAACAUCGUUACCAGAAGGAGUUUGCAAAAUUUUUCGAUAAUGUUUUAUUUGGAACGUUACUGGAGUCUAUCCAAAAACAAAUAGAAAUGUUGAAAACUGUGAACCCACCUGUUAGGUCGCAGUUAUGUACAGAAGAGUACUUACACAGACUAUAUAACAGCAGUCUUAUCGAAAUGAGGGAACUGCUUCACAUAUUAACUGUCAUCAUUCACGAUAUACAUAUCGCGGAUACGGCAUUCUUGAAACUCUACGAAAGCAUCGGGGGAAAACCAAAACGCUUAGCAAGUACAAAAAGUCACGAAGAUAAGAAAGCAAUUGCCAGGAAAAUCGAAGAAAUACAUUACAGUCAAGCAGCCCUAUUUUUAGUAGCGUUAGAUGCCAGAAAACACAUCGACAUGGAAGACUGGGUACUGAGCGUGAGAAAUAGCAUGCAAGAAACUUUUGAGCACAAAUGCAUUCGCGAUAGUUCCCCCCAAGACAGUCCACUGCUUCUAUCGUGGAUGCUAGCAAAUUACGCGAUCGAUCCAGAAAAUGUCGAUACAUUGAACAGAUUCAAACCAUUUGGUAUCAAAGCCAUACAACUUAACGUCUUCCAUUAUUUGCACGACCUAAUGAAUACCGAAAUGGUCUGUGAAAAGACUCAUUAUGCCGAAGUUGUGCACAGUAGCGUGUACAAUCUCCUCACCUUGGUGUGUGCUUUCGUCGACGAAGAAAAAUUGAGCGCGCUGCAUGGUAUCUUUGAUGCCGUUGCUGCUACGAUUCAAUUUCCUAAAACGGCAGCACGGUUUUGGGAAGAACGUAACGACGGUUUAUGGUUGAUCUACAAAUUCGCAGCUGAACAAUUCCCAUACGAAUUCGAACCAUUAACAAACAUUGCAAUUGGUUUGGCGAGUGCGUCCGAGACUAGUGCCAAAACAAUCGCGGAGGAACUGGACAAUCUCCAGUCAUUGACACUGGAAGUACCUCGGCAGCGAGAUCAUAACAAAACAUUCAAACCAUACGAACAAGAAUGCACGAUUCACAAAAACUCGUACACGAUAUCGGAAAAUUGUUUCCGCGAAAACAUACGCAUACUAUCGAGUGAACGCGAAGUGGUGAUAUUUCGGCAAAAAGCGUGUUAUUGGGACGCUUUGCAUCACAAGAUAGAACAGCUUUUCUCUCAAGCAGGCGGUGGAAACACAAACAUCAACAAGAUGACUAAAAAUUUGCCCGAGAUUGUUUCACAGGGCCUGAAGUUAUUAAAGACAGUAAUUAAGUACAUAGGGAUACCGCAAAGUAUGGUCAUUCCAACGGAACUGAGCUUUGAAAUCAUCAACAGAUUUUCCUAUCCAGUAUUACCCGAGGACAAAAUGUACAUAUACAAGAUCGUAGCCGCGUGCAUCAGCAUUUCGUCCGAACUCGUCCUAGAGUAUCCCGAAGAAAUCCUUUCUCGAAUGCGCGCAGGUGUCUACCCAAGGUUCAACAACCGGUAUCAGAAGACAUUGGACUUCGCGGAAGCAGUUUCGUUCGACGGCGGUAUAAUCGCUUCCUGGUUAUCCUCCAUAGAGACGAUCGCUCAUUCUUAUCCGAUUUUGAACGCGUACUUGGACAUCCUGUCCAAAUAUUUAAUCAGGAAGUACAACGAAGAAGCUUUAUACACGGUAGAGAUACCAGGUAUGGUGUUUCUACUGCAGGGCGUUUUGCCAAAAUUGGAUUCCUGGUAUUUCAAUUCGGACGCGGAGAGGACCGACCUGUGGUUGAAGAGCAUGUUUUGUCUUCACAGAGCUCUCGAGUCUAGCUUAUCGAAAGAAGACAUACGUAACGAAUUACAACUGGUCGUCGCAUACAGUUUACUGUAUCUGGAACCGAGACACGCGUUGCUAAAAUUAAUCCGCACCGGUGAACGUACUUUGCACAAUAAAAUGAUGGCGGAGACGGAUUGGAUUCGCGGGAAAGGAUUCAAGGCGAUCAAAAGCGUACAGUUGGCUCUGUCGGUGGUGAACAGAUUGCUGAUCUUCCGAAAAUCGUUGGGUCUGGAGACUGGAAAUAGAUCACCGUUGGAAGCCGCCUUGUACUCUUCACCUCGCGUACCCAACGGUCUUUUAAUAGUACCCACGAUCGUUAAUUAUCUCUACGUCUGGUUUAGCCCGCCAUUGCAGGCGAUGGCCGUUAGACUGCUGAAAAAAUUCGCCGAAGGAUCGUCUAUGUCUCUGCUCGUUUGCAUGGGUAUGGACGGUACAGCUAUCCGAGAAACUUUUGCCUCUCGUAGAGGACUAAUGUCGCCCACUUGCGUGCCAGACGUUAAAGUCGCCAUUCUCGAGCUAGUCGCGGUUUGCCUGGAAAAACAACCAGGCUUGACGGAAGCACUCUUCAACAUCGUGCACCCAGCGGAAUGCAAACGGAUCUUUCCACGAUCGGUGGAGGAGUUCUUCACGGAGGGAUGCAGGCAAUUUCUGGUGAAAUACAUGAAUCGAAUCUACGAAAAGGAGGACAUUGUGUGCGACAAAUUGUAUAACAGCACGAUGGCGCUGUUGCGGGCGAUGUGGUAUCACAGGAACGAAAUUCUUGUUAAUUUCUUCCGAAAACGAGAAAAAUUCUGGACUCACCUGUUUGCUCCGCUUUUCAGAGACCUGGUGCCAGGAGCGAAAGGUUACUCCCACCUGUUGGAUAUAAUUACCUUGGAGCUGUUCAAGAGCUCCGUGCUUGAGGAUGACUUCUCGAUGAACCUGAGAAAAUUUAUGGACAAGUCGAAAGAUUACUGGAAGAAACUGGCGAUCUACAUACUCGAAGAUGCGCAUCCUGAAAGCGAGAGAUCGAGUAAUUACGAGAAACAAGACACGAGUAUCAUUUAUUCGCAGUAUGAAAGUAAUUUAGAAUCAUGGUACAACUUUAUAGUCACGUUAACCGACGAAAGAAUCGCAACCAACUAUCCGGUGAACGUGAUCCAAGCGCAAUUAAUAACGCAACGCUCGUUGGAAUCGUUGCUAGAACGAGUGAAACAAUCGCACGAUCUUGGUAGCAGGAAAAUUACAAUGUUGCUAGCUUCUUUGUCCCUGCGAUGUAUUACUUCUUGGAAACAGAUGUGCGUGGACGACUCGAGAAUCUUCAAGACGGGCUUGACGCAGCUGAUGCAAGAGGUAGCCCAAGCCUAUCGCAGUUAUGGAAAAUCGUUGCGUCAGACGCUAAUGUCUUUGCUCCUCGGGUGUGUACAGUGUGUGAAGAGCACUUUGCGCGAGGAUGCGACGAGCCUCGAGUAUCUGUUAGCACAUUCUUGUACGAUCGCCGCGUGCGAAUUGGAGGAACUGAGGGAAGCAGCCGUUCAAUUCAUGAAACGAAGCCAACGGCAACCUAUCGAACGAACGGUGGACGAGAAGGGAACCAUUGGCAGCGUGACGGUGCAAAAGAACGUCGAUGAAAGCAACGCCGAAACUCUUCGUGGAAUUCGGGAGAGCUUGCCCGCCACCCUGGCCGUUUGCAUGGUCACGCAGCUGUUGCGUUCCUACGUAGAACGAAGCUCUCUAGCGAAACACUAUCGGAAGUCUGGAUGCAUGCAACUUCGACUAAUGAUACCCGAGUUGAUGACCUGCAUCGGCAUCACGCUGCAGAAGUAUCCCUAUCUAAGAUUCAGCACAGCCGCGCUGAACCUACUCAACUUAAUCAUCCGUUCGCCGUACACUCUGCACCCCAUCAACGACAAAGACAUCGCCAAUCUAUGGCUAAGCCUAAUCCCGCCCGCGGACAUCGGUAACAGCAUGUUGGACUCCCUGUACGACGACUGUACAAACGGAAAAUGGCGUUGCCAGGAUUGGUGGCCGCUGUACACCCUUGGCCUUGAAUUCCUCACUGGUCUCGUGACCAGAGAAGCGCCCACAAUGUACAUAAAGUCCAUCGUAAUGUUCCUCAACUCCCACGAGUAUCAGCUGAUGGUAGCCUCGACGUUGCUCAGACAUACAGCAGACCUACUGGCUGCAGACCUGGUGCAGUCCCUAGUCGCCCUCAUUCACAUCAUGGCCACAUCGCCAUACAUUUGGAACGCGAUAGAAAAGAACGUCUGCGAGACUCUGAUCAAAUGCAUGUACCUGGCGUACGACAACACGGUGAACUUGCUACUGCGCCCGCGGAUCCUCAAGUUCAUUAUCGACGGAAUCAGCAUGGAAAACGCCGAGGAGCUGGAAUCUUGCGACAAACGAUCGCCCAGUGGCGAACUGAGACUGCUGGUCAACAAGCUGAUCGUUAUAAACACCACCUGCGCGCUCACCUUCGUUCACUUCUCACCGAGACUGAACACCCUGGUGGACACUAUAUACACGCAAGACUUCUGGUACACGCCGAUGGCGGAGAUGAACUUUGGCCCGCCUCUGAUGAGCAUGAUCUCUGGUCCACGGUUAACCUACGGUACGAUCAUUAGCUCGACGCAGUUGUUCACGCAGGCGCUUCACUCUAGGUCUCAACCGAUGAAUUCCUCGUCAGGGUCGUUUGGUGGACAAUCAGACAAAAUGGAUUCUGCCAAGAGAGAAUGGGAGCACGCCACGCCAGAGGACAGGAGAAUGCAUUCGAGCAAAGAUUUGAGAAGGAUCAUCCACGCAGCUUCAGGGUCAGCUUCGAGGUCUAACGUGGGUGGGGAAUUUUUAGUGUACGUCAGUGGUCUUGACGUGACGGUGCCUCUACUGAGCAGCCCAAGACUCGUCAGGAGACCCUACGAUCCUCUCAUUUGCGAGAACACUAUCCUCUCGAGAGCAACGGCAUUGACCAGCGGCAGACACGUGACCAAAGGGAGCGGACCAACUACUGGAACCAAUGGUAGCAGCCCCGUCGUGGCUAAAUAUCAGAAGUUCAGUGAUCCUUGGUUCGAGUCUAUGGACGAAAACAACACGAGAUUAGCGCUAGAGAUCAAUCUCGUGUUAAUAUUGUGCCAAGCCUUGGAAGGUGUGAGGAGUCCCAGAAUCGCUCUCAGAGACCGUCAACUGAUAGCGCGCGAAACGGUGACGGAGUUGGGAGUUUUCUUCGAUUUUCUCGAACACCUAGGCACGCCUGACAAUUGGCCAGUCGAAGGAUCGUUGAUCAACGCUGGUACCAAAAGCGUGAGAACAAUCGAUCAGCCAUUUGAUCCGAAGCAAAGCAUUUUACCAGCGAGAUUGAAGGAGUCUGAACGCGGUAGAUUGGAAGAUAAAGUUUUCACUACGGGACGGUUCCCGAUCAAUAUCAGUAACGUACAAUUUUUACCAUUAAUGGGUAAAUUGCUUAAAACCGUCGUGGAAUCUUUGGAUUUAACGCAGUACCGAUAGCGACGAUUGUAUUUCGUAAUGGAGCACAUCGUGUGUGCUUUAAAUGAAGACAAAGGAAAGGUGGAUGAGGAAACGAAACAGAAGACAAAAUUCGUUUUUCGUGCUUGGUAUAUCGUAUAAAGGAUAAAAAAAGUUUGAUGAAAAGAAUAAAUCGAGGGUGAUUGCCGUCGACACUAUAAAAGUGUCCCAACGAACGAUAUUCGUAUCGAUCUUUAAAGACACUUGGACACUU